AGGGGAGUCGCCGGCAUCUGGAAGCCUGGCAGGCCUCCGCAGCGUGGCCAGCAUGGGGUCCAUGAGUCAGGGGGUGGAAGAGGCCCCGUGACAUGGGGAACACACUAAGCUCCUAGCCCAGCUCUUCUCCUGGAGGACCGGAUGCCCUCGCUCUGCCGCUGGGGAAGGAGUGCGCAGGGGGCUUGAGGCCAGCAAAGGAACUGCCCCCCAAAUCUUACUCCGGGAUCGGCACUUUCCUGGAAGACCCCAGGAGUAAGGAGAAGGAAGAGCAGCGGGGAGGGAGGGAGUCCCAAGCCAGGUGCCACAGAGAUGGGGCAGCGUGACCCUGUCCAGGUCACCUCCUGGGAAACUGAGGCCCAGCCAGGCAGAACUGGGUCUCCUGGUUCCAGCCACCACCCACCACUCAGGCAGCUGCCACCUGGGAGGCAGGAGAUGUCUGAGGUGGGGUCUUCAUACCACGAGCCACAUGGAGGGAGGCCACGAUCUCCGUCCUCCCACCUGCACACACACCCUCCCCCAGGUGAGCACUAGGAAGCCCUCUCUGGGGUGGGGGUGGAUGCUAAUGUUCUGUGCAGCUCUUUGGUUCAGUGAGUCCUUUUUGGUGAAAGGGCUCAGAGAUGCGGCUAAAGCCUGUGCCAGCCUUGCACUCCCAUGAGGUUGCUGUUACCCUCAUGCCACUUUCUUGGGAGAGGAAGGUGAGGCUGGAAAUGGUAAGGGGCUGAGCUCACUCAGAGGCUAGCACGACCCCAGGCUCACACCUGCCAGCAAUGUUAAGAGGCACUGGGAGCUGAGAAGGGCUGAGGGUGCCACGCUGGGGACUUUAACUCCUGCUUUGGAAUUUUCAGUGCUUCUGAUUAU
rnacentral:lncRNA from 1 species